rnacentral:rRNA from 1 species
AAAACCAGGACGAACGCUGGCGGCGUGCUUAACACAUGCAAGUCGAGCGGUAAGGCCUUUCGGGGUACACGAGCGGCGAACGGGUGAGUAACACGUGGGUGAUCUGCCCUGCACUCUGGGAUAAGCUUGGGAAACUGGGUCUAAUACCGGAUAUGACCACAGCAUGCAUGUGUUGUGGUGGAAAGAUUUAUCGGUGCAGGAUGGGCCCGCGGCCUAUCAGCUUGUUGGUGGGGUAAUGGCCUACCAAGGCGACGACGGGUAGCCGACCUGAGAGGGUGACCGGCCACACUGGGACUGAGACACGGCCCAGACU